rnacentral:rRNA from 1 species
AUUGAACGCUGGCGGCAUGCCUUACACAUGCAAGUCGAGCGCGAAAGGGGGCAACCCCGAGUAGAGCGGCGGACGGGUGAGUAACGCAUCGGAACGUGCCCAGUAGUGGGGGACAACCUCGAGAAAUCGAGGCUAAUACCGCAUACGACCCACGGGUGAAAGCGGGGGACCGCAAGGCCUCGCGCUAUUGGAGCGGCCGAUGUCCGAUUAGCUAGUUGGCGGGGUAAGAGCCCACCAAGGCGACGAUCGGUAGCUGGUCUGAGAGGACGACCAGCCACACUGGGACUGAGACACGGCCCAGACUCCUACGGGAGGCAGCAGUGGGGAAUUUUGGACAAUGGGGGCAACCCUGAUCCAGCCAUGCCGCGUGCGGGAAGAAGGCCUUCGGUUGUAA